GUGAAGAACGUAGUGAAAUGCGAUAAGUAAUGCGAAUUGCAGAAUUCAGUGAGUCAUCGAAUCUUUGAACGCACAUUGCGCCCUGUGGUAUUCCGCAGGGCAUGCCUGUUCGAGCGUCAUUUCAACCCUCAAGCUCUGCUUGGUGUUGGGCCCUGCCCGCUGCGGCCGGCCCUAAAGACAGUGGCGGUGCCGCCUGGCCCUGAGCGUAGAACAUCUCUCGCUCCAGUGCCCGGUGGUAGCCUGCCAGAACCCCAACUCUCGUGGUUGACCUCGGAUCAGGUAGGGAUACCCGCUGAACUUAAGCAUAUCAAUAAGCGGACGA
rnacentral:misc_RNA from 1 species